CCUACGGGAGGCAGCAGUGAGGAAUAUUGGUCAAUGGACGCGAGCCUGAACCAGCCAAGUAGCGUGAAGGAUGACUGCCCUACGGGUUGUAAACUUCUUUUAUAAAGGAAUAAAGUGAGGCACGCGUGCCUUUCUGUAAGUACUUUAUGAAUAAGGAUCGGCUAACUCCGUGCCCGCAGCCGCGGUCAUACGGAGGGUCCGAGCGUUAUCCGGAUUUAUUGGGUGUAAAGGGUGCGUAGAUGGGUGGUUAAGUUAGUGGUGAAAGUUGGCGGCUCAACGUUAGAAUUGCCAUGGAUACUGGCAGUCUUGAGAGCAGUUGAGGUAGGCGGAAUGCGUGGUGUAGCGGUGAAAUGCUUAGAGAUCACGAAGAACACCGAUUGCGAAGGCAGCUUACUAAACUGCCACUGACAUUGAGGCACGAAAGUGUGGGGAGCAAACAGGAGUAGAUACCCCUGUAGUC
rnacentral:rRNA from 1 species